UACGGGGGUACAUCAGUGGCAGACGGGUGAGUAACACGUAGGUAACCUGCCCUCGAGACGGGGAUAACGGCUGGAAACGGUCGCUAAGACCCGAUAUAGUCUGACCUUCGGGAGAAGGUGAGAGGAAAGGCUUCGGUGCUCGGGGAGGGGCCUGCGGCCCAUCAGCUAGUUGGAGAGGUAACGGCUCCCCAAGGCAAUGACGGGUAGGGGGUGUGAGAGCAUGGCCCCCCACACUGGGACUGAGACACGGCCCAGACUCCUACGGGAGGCAGCAGCAGGGAAUAUUGCGCAAUGGACGGAAGUCUGACGCAGCGACGCCGCGUGGAUGAUGAAGGCCUUCGGGUUGUAAAAUCCUUUUCCGGGCGAUGAGACAGGACACUAGCCUGGGAAUAAGCGUCGGCUAACUACGUGCCAGCAGCCGCGGUAAGACGUAGGACGCGAGCGUUAUCCGGAUUUACUGGGCGUAAAGCGCCUGCAGGCGGUCAGGUAAGUCGGUUGUGAAAGCCCCGUGCUCAACGCGGGGAGGCCAAGCGAUACUGCGUGACUUGAGGGCGGAAGAGGGGAGUGGAAUUCCCGGUGUAGCGGUAAAAUGCGCAGAUAUCGGGAGGAACACCAGUGGCGAAGGCGGCUCCCUUGGACCGCACCUGACGCUCAGAGGCGAAAGCUAGGGGAGCGAACAGGAUUAGAGACCCUGGCAGUCCUAGCCCUAAACGCUGGAUGCUAGGUGUAGGGCUGAUGAGGCUCUGUGCCGGAGCGAACGCGAUAAGCAUCCCGCCUGGGAACUACGGCCGCAAGGCUAAAACUC
rnacentral:rRNA from 1 species